GAUCCUCCCACCCUUUGUGUACCUACCUCUGUUGCUUUGGCGGGCCGCGGUCCUCCGCGGCCGCCCCCCUCCCCGGGGGGGUGGCCAGCGCCCGCCAGAGGACCAUCAAACUCCAGUCAGUAAACGAUGCAGUCUGAAAAACAUUUAAUAAACUAAAACUUUCAACAACGGAUCUCUUGGUUCUGGCAUCGAUGAAGAACGCAGCGAAAUGCGAUAAGUAAUGUGAAUUGCAGAAUUCAGUGAAUCAUCGAAUCUUUGAACGCACAUUGCGCCCUUUGGUAUUCCGAAGGGCAUGCCUGUUCGAGCGUCAUUACAACCCUCAAGCUCUGCUUGGUAUUGGGCACCGUCCUUUGCGGGCGCGCCUCAAAGACCUCGGCGGUGGCGUCUUGCCUCAAGCGUAGUAGAACAUACAUCUCGCUUCGGAGCGCAGGGCGUCGCCCGCCGGACGAACCUUCUGAACUUUUCUCAAGGUUGACCUCGGAUCAGGUAGGGAUACCCGCUGAACUUAAGCAUAUCAAUA
rnacentral:rRNA from 1 species